UAAGGAAUAUUGGACAAUGGUCGCAAGACUGAUCCAGCCAUGCCGCGUGCAGGAAGACGGCCCUAUGGGUUGUAAACUGCUUUUGUACCAGAGAAAACCUAUCUACGUGUAGAUAGCUGAUAGUAUGGUAAGAAUAAGCAUCGGCUAACUUCGUGCCAGCAGCCGCGGUAAGACGAAGGAUGCAAGCGUUAUCCGGAUUCAUUGGGUUUAAAGGGUGCGUAGGCGGGCUUGUAAGUCAGUGGUGAAAUCUCUCAGCUUAACUGAGAAACUGCCAUUGAUACUGCAGGCCUAGAGUAUAGAUGACGUUGGCGGAAUAUGACAUGUAGUGGUGAAAUACUUAGAUAUGUUAUAGAACACCGAUUGCGAAGGCAGCUAACGAAACUAUAACUGACGCUGAGGCACGAAAGUGCGGGGAUCAAACA
rnacentral:rRNA from 1 species